rnacentral:rRNA from 1 species
UACGUAGGGGGCUAGCGUUGUCCGGAAUCAUUGGGCGUAAAGCGCGUGUAGGCGGUCCGGUAAGUCCGCUGUGAAAGUUGAGGGCUCAACCCUCGAAUGCCGGUGGAUACUGUCGGGCUUGAGUACGGGAGAGGCGAGUGGAAUUCCUGGUGUAGCGGUGAAAUGCGCAGAUAUCAGGAGGAACACCGAUUGCGAAGGCAGCUCGCUGGAACGUUACUGACGCUGAGACGCGAAAGCGUGGGGAGCAAACAGG